rnacentral:rRNA from 1 species
GAUGAACGCUGGCGGCGUGCCUAAUACAUGCAAGUCGAGCGAACAGACGAGGAGCUUGCUCCUCUGACGUUAGCGGCGGACGGGUGAGUAACACGUGGAUAACCUACCUAUAAGACUGGGAUAACUUCGGGAAACCGGAGCUAAUACCGGAUAAUAUUUUGAACCGCAUGGUUCAAUAGUAAAAGACGGUUUUGCUGUCACUUAUAGAUGGAUCCGCGCUGCAUUAGCUAGUUGGUAAGGUAACGGCUUACCAAGGCAACGAUGCGUAGCCGACCUGAGAGGGUGAUCGGCCACACUGGAACUGAGACACGGUCCAGACUCCUACGGGAGGCAGCAGUAGGGAAUCUUCCGCAAUGGGCGAAAGCCUGACGGAGCAACGCCGCGUGAGUGAUGAAGGUCUUCGGAUCGUAAAACUCUGUUAUUAGGGAAGAACAAAUGUGUAAGUAACUAUGCACGUCUUGACGGUACCUAAUCAGAAAGCCACGGCUAACUACGUG